GAUGAACGCUGGCGGCGUGCCUAAUACAUGCAAGUCGAGCGAACGGACGAGAAGCUUGCUUCUCUGAUGUUAGCGGCGGACGGGUGAGUAACACGUGGAUAACCUACCUAUAAGACUGGGAUAACUUCGGGAAACCGGAGCUAAUACCGGAUAAUAUUUUGAACCGCAUGGUUCAAAAGUGAAAGACGGUCUUGCUGUCACUUAUAGAUGGAUCCGCGCUGCAUUAGCUAGUUGGUAAGGUAACGGCUUACCAAGGCAACGAUGCAUAGCCGACCUGAGAGGGUGAUCGGCCACACUGGAACUGAGACACGGUCCAGACUCCUACGGGAGGCAGCAGUAGGGAAUCUUCCGCAAUGGGCGAAAGCCUGACGGAGCAACGCCGCGUGAGUGAUGAAGGUCUUCGGAUCGUAAAACUCUGUUAUUAGGGAAGAACAUAUGUGUAAGUAACUGUGCACAUCUUGACGGUACCUAAUCAGAAAGCCACGGCUAACUACGUGCCAGCAGCCGCGGUAAUACGUAGGUGGCAAGCGUUAUCCGGAAUUAUUGGGCGUAAAGCGCGCGUAGGCGGUUUUUUAAGUCUGAUGUGAAAGCCCACGGCUCAACCGUGGAGGGUCAUUGGAAACUGGAAAACUUGAGUGCAGAAGAGGAAAGUGGAAUUCCAUGUGUAGCGGUGAAAUGCGCAGAGAUAUGGAGGAACACCAGUGGCGAAGGCGACUUUCUGGUCUGUAACUGACGCUGAUGUGCGAAAGCGUGGGGAUCAAACAGGAUUAGAUACCCUGGUAGUCCACGCCGUAAACGAUGAGUGCUAAGUGUUAGGGGGUUUCCGCCCCUUAGUGCUGCAGCUAACGCAUUAAGCACUCCGCCUGGGGAGUACGACCGCAAGGUUGAAACUCAAAGGAAUUGACGGGGACCCGCACAAGCGGUGGAGCAUGUGGUUUAAUUCGAAGCAACGCGAAGAACCUUACCAAAUCUUGACAUCCUUUGACAACUCUAGAGAUAGAGCCUUCCCCUUCGGGGGACAAAGUGACAGGUGGUGCAUGGUUGUCGUCAGCUCGUGUCGCGAGAUGUUGGGUUAAGUCCCGCAACGAGCGCAACCCUUAAGCUUAGUUGCCAUCAUUAAGUUGGGCACUCUAAGUUGACUGCCGGUGACAAACCGGAGGAAGGUGGGGAUGACGUCAAAUCAUCAUGCCCCUUAUGAUUUGGGCUACACACGUGCUACAAUGGACAAUACAAAGGGCAGCGAAACCGCGAGGUCGAGCAAAUCCCAUAAAGUUGUUCUCAGUUCGGAUUGUAGUCUGCAACUCGACUACAUGAAGCUGGAAUCGCUAGUAAUCGUAGAUCAGCAUGCUACGGUGAAUACGUUCCCGGGUCU
rnacentral:rRNA from 1 species